GUCAAUGCCUCAACCUGCCUCCCUUCUUCUCCAUCCGCUCUCAACCCAGAUAAGAUCUUCUUAAGCCGUCCUCUCUGCUGUGAGGAUGAAGCCGAUGCAAUUGCAGAAGAUGGAAGUAAAUCAUCCAGUCCAGCACCGAGUUUCCUGAGAAGUCCUUGAAGGGCGCUACUCGCUGUGGAUAAAUUCUGCUGCAAGACUCCCAUUCCUCCUUCACUGUCGUUAUCAUCAUCCUCCCCACCGCCACUACCUUCAAUAUUUAGCCCAAAGCUCUGCUCAGCAUUCCUUUCUCUAUCCCCG
rnacentral:misc_RNA from 1 species